rnacentral:rRNA from 1 species
UCCAUUAUAGGGCGUAAGAGCUCGUAGGCGGUUUGUCGCGUCUGCUGUGAAAGACCGGGGCUCAACUCCGGUUCUGCAGUGGGUACGGGCAGACUAGAGUGCAGUAGGGGAGACUGGAAUUCCUGGUGUAGCGGUGAAAUGCGCAGAUAUCAGGAGGAACACCGAUGGCGAAGGCAGGUCUCUGGGCUGUAACUGACGCUGAGGAGCGAAAGCAUGGGGAGCGAACAGGAUUAGAUACCCUGGUAGUCCAUGCCGUAAACGUUGGGCACUAGGUGUGGGGGACAUUCCACGUUUUCCGCGCCGUAGCUAACGCAUUAAGUGCCCCGCCUGGGGAGUACGGCCGCAAGGCUAAAACUCAAAGGAAUUGACGGGGGCCCGCACAAGCGGCGGAGCAUGCGGAUUAAUUCGAUGCAACGCGAAGAACCUUACCAAGGCUUGACAUGAACCGGUAAUACCUGGAAACAGGUGCCCCGCUUGCGGUCGGUUUACAGGUGGUGCAUGGUUGUCGUCAGCUCGUGUCGUGAGAUGUUGGGUUAAGUCCCGCAACGAGCGCAACCCUCGUUCUAUGUUGCCAGCGCGUUAUGGCGGGGACUCAUAGGAGACUGCCGGGGUCAACUCGGAGGAAGGUGGGGACGACGUCAAAUCAUCAUGCCCCUUAUGUCUUGGGCUUCACGCAUGCUACAAUGGCCGGUACAAAGGGUUGCGAUACUGUGAGGUGGAGCUAAUCCCAAAAAGCCGGUCUCAGUUCCGGAUUGGGGGUCUGCAACUCGACCCCAUGAAGUCGGAGUCGCUAGUAAUCGCAGAUCAGCAACGCUGCGGUGAAUACGUUCCCGGGGCCUUGUACACAUCGCCCGUCAAGUCACGAAAGUUGGUAACAUCUCGAAGCCGGUGGCCUUAUCCCUUGUGUGGGGAGUCGUCGAAGGUGGGCACCGU